rnacentral:miRNA from 1 species
UGCCUUUAAACAGUAAAAUCCUUCUCUCUCUAUAUAUAUAUAUAUGCAUAUAUAUAUAUAUACUUGAGAAGGAUUUUACUGUUUAAAGAGA